rnacentral:lncRNA from 1 species
AUUAAUGACAGCGCCAUACCACGCUCCACUAUAAAUAUCGGGGAAGGCAACAGUGCAGGGACACCCCUUGGAAACCACAGGCUCGCUCCUCUCUCUCUCUCUCGAUUGAGCUCUCUGUCUUCAUUUCACUGUUGCUCAGUCACCUCUCUGACUUGACCGUCGGAGGGUCCCCGCCGGAGCCGCCUCCGGUCAGUGGGGACUUCUCAUUUUUGCAGGUGCCCGUUCCCCGGCGAUCGGACGACAGAGGCGAUUGGCCGC